GACGAACGCUGGCGGCGUGCUUAACACAUGCAAGUCGAACGAUGAAGCCGGAGCUUGCUCCGGUGGAUUGGUGGCGAACGGGUGAGUAACACGUGAGCAAUCUGCCCUUGACUCUGGGAUAACUGCGGGAAACUGUAGCUAAUACCGGAUACGACACCUUGGGGCAUCCCAGGGUGUGGAAAGAAUUUCGGUCAAGGAUGAGCUCGCGGCCUAUCAGCUAGUUGGUGAGGUAAUGGCUCACCAAGGCGACGACGGGUAGCCGGCCUGAGAGGGUGGCCGGCCACACUGGAACUGAGACACGGUCCAGACUCCAACGGGAGGCAGCAGUGGGGAAUAUUGCACAAUGGGCGAGAGCCUGAUGCAGCAACGCCGCGUGAGGGAGGAAGGCCUUCGGGUUGUAAACCUCUUUUAGCAGGGAAGAAGCGAAAGUGACGGUACCUGCAGAAAAAGCACCGGCUAACUACGUGCCAGCAGCCGCUGUAA
rnacentral:rRNA from 1 species